GGUGAAGGCAGCUUUGGGCACAGAGGCUGGGGCUGAGCUCUUGAGACACCUCCCCAGCGCCCCAGGGCACCAGAGGAUUUCGUGAGUGUGGGUAAAAACCUGCAUUGAGCAAAGGAAAGAGGGAAAAAGCGAUAGCCAGGGAUACUUGGCCCUCUCUGGCUGUGUGAUCCCUCCCGAGCACCUCUUCUCCUGGAGAGCCUCAUCCAUGCAGGAGAAGCACAGAUAUUUACAAUUAUUUGCCUCAGUCCUGUAACAGCUGCUGGGAAAAUUGCAAUGAUUAAUGCAUAGAUCUUACCCUCAAAAAUCUAAUAAAAGAGAAAGAUGAGCAAGGAAGUAAUCAAAACCCAGUAUUGUGAACUUCACAAAAGAGGCUCAUGGAGAGACAGCCGAAAGGAACACUUUGUUUCCCCCACAGUUCUUAGAAAGGGGAGCUGACAGUAAAGAAGACAGAAUCAUAAGAAUUAUAGAAGUCUACUGCCGUGACACUGAAGGAAAUUACACAGAAGUCAGAGGAGGAGCAAACGUAAAACCACAAAGGCUGGAUGAGUGAGAUAAACUGGGAGCUUGGCUUUG